CAACGGCGGAAGCGGCGCCACCCCGCCCUGACAGACGAGAGCCACGGUGGCGCUGCGAUAGACUUUAUUAGAUAGAGGGGUGUCUGACAGAUAGGGCACACCUUCAGCUUGAUGACACCAUCAUCUUCAUCCAUAUAAUGGUCAAGGCCUUGGGACUCAAAGACAUGGCCACAGUCUUCAAGCUGCACAAAUCGAACGUCUGGGUCUUCCUCAAAGCCAAAGAAGAUCUGGGGUAUUCAGUCGCUCAUGUUCCAGAGAUCCAAAGCCUAGCUCUGAUACAGCUCAGCACUGUAACCUUGGCUCAGACUUCUGGGGAAGUAGUUCAGUUGUGACAGACAGCUGUGAGCAAGUCUGCAGAACGGGGCUAUGCAAGCACUCUGGGUGAAGACAGUUACACCAAGGCCCAGCCACUCCAGCAUCAUCGAGUGUUGUGAAGCACUGUAGUAAAACUCAUCGUCAUCCUAAUAUAAGGAAAGUCAAAUCAGACAGUCCUAUUGCACUUCAGAG